rnacentral:rRNA from 1 species
AGGACGAACGCUGGCGGCGCGCCUCAUACAUGCAAGUCGAGCGCGUUCCCCGCAAGGGGGGCGAGCGGCAGACGGGUGAGUAACACGUGAGCAAUCUACCCAGAGGUUCGGAAUAACUCCGGGAAACCGGAGCUAAUACCGGAUGAUGUCGUUGGGGGCAUCCCUGACGAGCAAAGGUGCCGCAAGGCAUCGCCUGUGGAGGGCUCGCGGGCCAUUAGCUAGUUGGUGAGGUAACGGCCCACCAAGGCGACGAUGGCUAGCCGGCCUAAGAGGGUGGUCGGCCACACUGGGACUGAGACACGGCCCAGACUCCUACGGGAGGCAGC